UAGUGACCGAUAGUGAACCAGUACCGUGAGGGAAAGGUGAAAAGCACCCCGGGAGGGGAGUGAAAUAGAACCUGAAACCGUGUGCUUACAAGUAGUCAGAGCCCGUUAAUGGGUGAUGGCGUGCCUUUUGUAGAAUGAACCGGCGAGUUGCGAUUUCAUGCAAGGUUAAGCAGAGGAUGCGGAGCCGUAGCGAAAGCGAGUCUGAAUAGGGCGUUUAGUAUGGGGUUGCAGACCCGAAACCAGGUGAUCUACCCAUGUCCAGGCUGAAGUCCAGGUAACACUGGAUGGAGGGCCGAACCGACUUACGUUAAAAAGUGACCGGAUGAGGUGUGGGUAGCGGAGAAAUUCCAAUCGAACCUGGAGAUAGCUGGUUCUCUCCGAAAUAGCUUUAGGGCUAGCGUCG
rnacentral:rRNA from 1 species